GCGGUGCUGCGGGGUGCGUGAGGAGUCAUAUCCCCGGGGCCUUAUCGAUCCUGAAGGGAGCUGUCCCUGACCGGACCCGUGGGUCCGGACAUAUGGCGCCCACCUACUUUCGUAGGGAACCCGGGAUCGACACUCCCACGGCCAUCGCGGCCCGCA
rnacentral:other from 1 species